rnacentral:rRNA from 1 species
UUACCGAAGCUGUGGAUUGUCCGUAGGACAAUGGUAGGAGAGCGUUCUAAGGGCGUUGAAGCAUGAUCGCAAGGACAUGUGGAGCGCUUAGAAGUGAGAAUGCCGGUGUGAGUAGCGAAAGACGGGUGAGAAUCCCGUCCACCGAUUGACUAAGGUUUCCAGAGGAAGGCUCGUCCGCUCUGGGUUAGUCGGGUCCUAAGCUGAGGC